UACGUAGGUGGCAAGCGUUAUCCGGAUUAACUGGGCGUAAAGGGUUCGUAGGCGGACUGUUAAGUCAGAUGUGAAAUUCUGGGGCUCAACCCCAGCGCUGCAUUUGAUACUGGCAGUCUAGAGUGCGGGAGAGGAGAGUGGAAUUCCUAGUGUAGCGGUGAAAUGCGUAGAGAUUAGGAAGAACACCAGUGGCGAAGGCGACUCUCUGGACCGUAACUGACGCUGAGGAACGAAAGCGUGGGGAGCAAACAGG
rnacentral:rRNA from 1 species